AGAAUGACUCUCGGCAA
rnacentral:rRNA from 16 species